rnacentral:pre_miRNA from 1 species
UGUGUACUCCCUCCGUUCCAAAAUACUUGACUUCCAUUUGUCCGAAAAUGGAUGUACCUAUAUACUAAAACAUGUGUAGAUACAUAUAUAUUUUGACAAAUAGAAGGCAUGUAUUGUGCAACGGAGGGAGUAGAAU